rnacentral:lncRNA from 1 species
ACUUGAUCCCCUGGAAAUGUCCUACUUCCUGCUCCUCCCCAGGCCCUGCCUAGUGGGACCACGUCAUUCUCUAUUCUCAUGGACCUCUAUACCCCUCCUCUCUGAGUUCAGGUAUUCUGGUACCUGCCCACAGCAGGGAGAACAACAGACCACAUGUCCAGUCCUUGCCCAGCCCAGAUUAUGCUAUAAAGACGUUUUUUGAAAGAGAAAGAAAGAGGUGACAUUCUGUGGAGGGAUCUUAAGGGACCAGGCCUAAUCACAUCGGGGACUCGAGGCCUCCCUUCCAGGCUUGGCAGGCAGAGUAUCUCAAGAUGAAGAGAAAGACAUUUUCCCUUGCAUGCUGGCCGCUGUUUCAUCUUCUACUACUCUUAGGAAACGCUGUAACUUCUAAUGCUAACACUACAGCCACCACCCUUGGACAAACCACAUCACCCAGGGGAACUAACACAACAGCUAUAACCUCCAGUGGGAACAUCACGACCACCUCCCUCGGACCAACCACACCGUCCAGGGAAACUAACACAACGGCUAUAACCUCCAGUGACACCAGCACAAGUACUGCCCCUCCAAGGAAAGAGGAGAACCUUAGCGGACAACUGACACCAUGGGAAGUUGUUCUGGUCACUCUGGCCUCGGUUGCAAUGGCUGUGAUUCUCGUCACCGGGCUUCUCUUCCAUUUCAGAAACUCUCCAGGCCUCAGAAACCUCUUCGAUGUUAAUCUCUUACCAACUGCAUGGCCAAGCCCCUACGGGACCAGGGCAACUGCAACUGACUUCAGAGGAGACCCUUCUCCCGUAGUCAUGGAGCUGACUGGGAGGCGGGAAUAGCACUGAGCUCCCUGAAGGCAGACGCAUCACCAAUGUGUGGGGGUGGGGGGCUGACCUGGGGGAGCCUGAGUAUUCCUCCUGUCCGAAGGACUGUCCCUCCCAGCUCCAUUUCAGCCUCUGACUGUCCUCCUUCCCACUUGGUUUUUCCAGACCAAAACAAGGAGGCUGUAGCUGUGAACGAAUUAUUAAAUAAACAAUUCUGAUAUAUGUGGAACCAGACUCUCUAGGUGUAUUUAUGUAUUAUGGUGAACAGAGGUUCUUUAUACCCUAAAGACCCCUCUUCUCUUUGUUCUCCCAGCUCUCAAAUCCCCAGAGUGAAACCCAGACUUUAUAUGUGUCUCAUUUUCUUCCCCAUUCUGUCCUCAUUCCCCGGAGGCCUCUGGGCUGAUGAAUCAGGGAAUGGAAUCAGGGAAGAUGGAGAAGGCGAGUGCUACACAUCACAGGCUUGUGUUGUAUAAGGGGAAAAAAGUCUCUGAGCCAGUCUGCAGCACAAGGGGGCCGGGGAGCAACCGCGCAGGUUGUGAAGUAGAGAAGGUCUUGCUCAUGGGGGUUGGCCACCUUCCCUGUGUCCCUGGCUACUCAGGUCUGCUCUGGGCUCGGGCUCUUUACUAUUACUGGGAAGACAGGUGUGAGUCACCACCUUUCUCGCCUGUGGGCUCCCAGCCCCAGGAACGGUCCUGGGCAGGGAGAACAUGCUCCCAGUUUCUACAAGGGCGGGCCCAGCCUGUGCUGCCAGAAGCCAGGUUCUCAGCAGUCCCUGCAAAACCAGGUCUCAGAACAGGGACAUAAACCCAUGUGUCAGGGCUGUGCUCUUGCUGAAAGCCACGGCCUUGUCAAGGGUUUUGGUGCAACUUGCUCAUACACGCACUCACUGACCCUUCCUUGUGAAUGAAUCACAAUGAAUCACACACCCUUGUUUCAUCAGCUCAGCCCUUGUCAUGGUUCUCAUAGCUGGACCUUUGCCAGAGCCUUCUUAAUAGGACCAAGGCUGUUUAUAUACAUUUUGCAAUAUUAUUAACAAAACAGUUUUAAACAGCUGUAUAGAAACCAAAUGCAAAGAACCUACUGUAUGAUUCCAUUGUAUGAAAUUCAAGAACAGAACUAAUCUGGGAGUUCCCGUCAUGGCUGAGCAGUAAUGAACCCAACUAGUACCCAUGAGGAUUUGGGUUUGAUCCCUGGCCUCUCUCGGUGGGUUAAGGAUCCAGUGUUGCCAUGAGCUGUGUGGUGUAGGUCGCAGACACAGCUCAGAUCCCACAUUGCUGUAGCUGUGGCUGUGGCGUAGGCCAGCAGCUGCCAGCCUGGGGACUUCAAUAUGCCAUGGGUGUGGUCCUAAAAAAAAAAAAAAAGAAAAAAAAUUAAAAAAAAAAAAGAAAAGAAGAGAACUAAUCUACAGUGACAGAGCAGAUCACUGAUUUCCCACAGGUGAGAAUUUUUAGAAGGGGGAACUUUCUGGAUGAUAAAAUGUUUUAUAUCUUGGCUGGGCUAUUGGUUACACAAGUAAAUACAUCUAUCAAAACUCAUCUAAUGGAAUAAUUAAAAUCUGUGCAUUUCACUGUUUGUAAGUUUAUUCCAGGGAAAAAAUUUAGUUAUAUAUAAUAGAGUUUUUAAAGCCAUAAAUAGUCUCAACAGCAAAAAAGCCAACAACCCAACUGAAAAAUGGGCAAAGGACCUGAAUAGACAUUUCUCCAAGGCCAACAAGCACUUGAAACAAUGCUCAACAUCACUGAUUAUUAGAGAAAUGCAAAUCAAAACUACCAUGAGAUACCACCUCACACCAGUUAGAAUGGCCAUCUUUAAUAAGUCCACAAAUAACAAAUGCUGGAGGUGGUGUGGAGAAAAGGGAACCCUCCUACACUGUUGGUGGGAAUGUAAGCUGGUACAACCACUAUGGAGAAACGUAUGGAGGUAUCUUAGAAAACUAUACAUAGAACUACCACAUAACCCGGCAAUCUCACUCUUGGGCAUAUAUCCGGACAAAAUUCUACUUAAAAAAGAAACAUGCACCCGCAUGUUCACUGCAGCACUAUUCACAACCGUCAGGACGUGGAAUCAACCCAAAUGUCCACUGAUAGAUGAUUGGAUCAGGAAGAUGUGGUAUAUAUACACAAUGGAAUACUACUUAUCCAUAAAAAAGAACAAAAUAAUGCCAUUUGCAGCAACAUGGAUGGAACUAGAGAUUCUCAUACUGAGUGAAGUAAGUCAGAAAGAGAAAGACAAACACCAUAUGAUAUCACUUAUAUCUGGGAUCUAAUAUAUGGCACAAAGAAACUUUCCACAGAAAAGAAGAUC